rnacentral:rRNA from 1 species
CAGCCGCCGCGGUAACACCGGCGGCUCGAGUGGUAACCGUUAUUAUUGGGUCUAAAGGGUCUGUAGCCGGCCGGAUAAGUCUCUUGGGAAAUCUGGCAGCUCAACUGUCAGGCUUGGAACCGGGAGAGGUAAGAGGUACUACAGGGGUAGGAGUGAAAUCUUGUAAUCCCUGUGAGACCACCUGUGGCGAAGGCGUCUUACCAGAACGGGUUCGACGGUGAGGGACGAAAGCUGGGGGCACGAACCGGAUUAGAUACCCGGGUAGUCCCAGCCGUAAACUAUGCUCGCUAGGUGUCAGGCAUGGCGCGACCGUGUCUGGUGCCGCAGGGAAGCCGUGAAGCGAGCCACCUGGGAAGUACGGCCGCAAGGCUGAAACUUAAAGGAAUUGGCGGGGGAGCACAACAACGGGUGGAGCCUGCGGUUUAAUUGGACUCAACGCCGGACAACUCACCGGGGACGACAGCAAUAUGUAGGCCAGGCUGAAGACCUUGCCUGAAUCGCUGAGAGGUGGUGCAUGGCC